CCUGGUGCUGGCCCUCAAGGCGCAGAGGGAGCAGGGCUGCCAACAGGACGACAGCCCCAUGGAGACUCCCAUGGAUAUGGAGGGGAUGGCGGAGGAGUGCUGGCCACCCUGGAGGGGGAGCAUUAGCCCCCGCCAGGAAAAGGAGGCAGGGUCCCACGAGGACAAGGGGACGCA